rnacentral:rRNA from 1 species
UACGUAGGUGGCUAGCGUUGUCCGGAAUCACUGGGCGUAAAGCGCACGUAGGCGGACUCUUAAGUCGGUGGUGAAAUCCUGGAGCUCAACUCCAGAACUGCCUUCGAUACUGGGAGUCUCGAGUUCGGGAGAGGUGAGUGGAACUGCGAGUGUAGAGGUGAAAUUCGUAGAUAUUCGCAAGAACACCAGUGGCGAAGGCGGCUCACUGGCCCGGUACUGACGCUGAGGCACGAAAGCGUGGGGAGCGAACAGG